rnacentral:rRNA from 1 species
GACGAACCGUGCGAACGUUAUUCGGAAUCACUGGGCUUAAAGCGCGUGUAGGCGGGACGGCACGUCGGUCGCUGAAAUCCCCCGGCUUAACCGGGGAACGGGCGUCGAUACGACCGUCCUGGAGGGGCGUAGGGGGACCUGGAACUUCCGGUGGAGCGGUGAAAUGCGUUGAGAUCGGAAGGAACGCCCGUGGCGAAAGCGAGGUCCUGGACGCCUACUGACGCUGAGACGCGAAAGCCAGGGGAGCAAACGGG